GGCGCAUAGCUCAGCGGGAGAGCACACCCUUCACACGGGUGGGGUCGUAGGUUCAAUCCCUACUGCGCCCACCA
rnacentral:tRNA from 1 species